rnacentral:rRNA from 1 species
AGUCGACGAACUCUGGUAUUGAUUGGUGCUUGCAUCAUGAUUUACAUUUGAGUGAGUGGCGAACUGGUGAGUAACACGUGGGAAACCUGCCCAGAAGCGGGGGAUAACACCUGGAAACAGAUGCUAAUACCGCAUAACAACUUGGACCGCAUGGUCCGAGCUUGAAAGAUGGCUUCGGCUAUCACUUUUGGAUGGUCCCGCGGCGUAUUAGCUAGAUGGUGGGGUAACGGCUCACCAUGGCAAUGAUACGUAGCCGACCUGAGAGGGUAAUCGGCCACAUUGGGACUGAGACACGGCCCAAACUCCUACGGGAGGCAGCAGUAGGGAAUCUUCCACAAUGGACGAAAGUCUGAUGGAGCAACGCCGCGUGAGUGAAGAAGGGUUUCGGCUCGUAAAACUCUGUUGUUAAAGAAGAACAUAUCUGAGAGUAACUGUUCAGGUAUUGACGGUAUUUAACCAGAAAGCCACGGCUAACUACGUGCCAGCAGCCGCGGUAAUACGUAGGUGGCAAGCGUUGUCCGGAUUUAUUGGGCGUAAAGCGAGCGCAGGCGGUUUUUUAAGUCUGAUGUGAAAGCCUUCGGCUCAACCGAAGAAGUGCAUCGGAAACUGGGAAACUUGAGUGCAGAAGAGGACAGUGGAACUCCAUGUGUAGCGGUGAAAUGCGUAGAUAUAUGGAAGAACACCAGUGGCGAAGGCGGCUGUCUGGUCUGUAACUGACGCUGAGGCUCGAAAGUAUGGGUAGCAAACAGGAUUAGAUACCCUGGUAGUCCAUACCGUAAACGAUGAAUGCUAAGUGUUGGAGGGUUUCCGCCCUUCAGUGCUGCAGCUAACGCAUUAAGCAUUCCGCCUGGGGAGUACGGCCGCAAGGCUGAAACUCAAAGGAAUUGACGGGGGCCCGCACAAGCGGUGGAGCAUGUGGUUUAAUUCGAAGCUACGCGAAGAACCUUACCAGGUCUUGACAUACUAUGCAAAUCUAAGAGAUUAGACGUUCCCUUCGGGGACAUGGAUACAGGUGGUGCAUGGUUGUCGUCAGCUCGUGUCGUGAGAUGUUGGGUUAAGUCCCGCAACGAGCGCAACCCUUAUUAUCAGUUGCCAGCAUUAAGUUGGGCACUCUGGUGAGACUGCCGGUGACAAACCGGAGGAAGGUGGGGAUGACGUCAAAUCAUCAUGCCCCUUAUGACCUGGGCUACACACGUGCUACAAUGGAUGGUACAACGAGUUGCGAACUCGCGAGAGUAAGCUAAUCUCUUAAAGCCAUUCUCAGUUCGGAUUGUAGGCUGCAACUCGCCUACAUGAAGUCGGAAUCGCUAGUAAUCGCGGAUCAGCAUGCCGCGGUGAAUACGUUCCCGGGCCUUGUACACACCGCCCGUCACACCAUGAGAGUUUGUAACACCCAAAGUCGGUGGGGAACCUUUAGAACC